rnacentral:rRNA from 1 species
UACGUAGGGACCAAGCGUUGUUCGGAUUUACUGGGCGUAAAGGGCGCGUAGGCGGCAAUUCAAGUCAGCUGUGAAAUCUCCGGGCUUAACUCAGAACGGUCAACUGAUACUGUCGGGCUAGAGUGCAGAAGGGGCAACUGGAAUUCUCGGUGUAGCGGUGAAAUGCGUAGAUAUCGAGAGGAACACCUGCGGCGAAGGCGGGUUGCUGGGCUGACACUGACGCUGAGGCGCGAAAGCUAGGGGAGCAAACGGG